rnacentral:rRNA from 1 species
UACGUAGGGUGCGAGCGUUAAUCGGAAUUACUGGGCGUAAAGCGUGCGCAGGCGGCGCGUUAAGACAGGUGUGAAAGCCCCGAGCUUAACUUGGGAAUUGCGCUUGUGACUGGCGUGCUGGAGUGUGGCAGAGGGAGGUGGAAUUCCACGUGUAGCAGUGAAAUGCGUAGAGAUGUGGAGGAACACCGAUGGCGAAGGCAGCCCCCCUGGGUCAAGAUUGACGCUCAUGCACGAAAGCGUGGGGAGCAAACAGG